rnacentral:tRNA from 1 species
GAGGGCAGAGCUCAGGGGUGGAGCGCACGUUUAGCACGCGUGAGGCCCUGGGUUCAAUCCCCGGCACCUCCU